GUAGUCGGGCCGGUCACCA
rnacentral:misc_RNA from 1 species